rnacentral:rRNA from 1 species
AAUGGACCAAAAGUCUGAUCCAGCAAUUCUGUGUGCACGAUGAAGUUUUUCGGAAUGUAAAGUGCUUUCAGUUGGGAAGAAGUCAGUGACGGUACCAACAGAAGAAGCGACGGCUAAAUACGUGCCAGCAGCCGCGGUAAUACGUAUGUCGCAAGCGUUAUCCGGAUUUAUUGGGCGUAAAGCGCGUCUAGGCGGCUUAGUAAGUCUGAUGUGAAAAUGCGGGGCUCAACCCCGUAUUGCGUUGGAAACUGCUAAACUAGAGUACUGGAGAGGUAGGCGGAACUACAAGUGUAGAGGUGAAAUUCGUAGAUAUUUGUAGGAAUGCCGAUGGGGAAGCCAGCCUACUGGACAGAUACUGACGCUAAAGCGCGAAAGCGUGGGUAGCAAA